GUUUGAUCCUGGCUCAGAACGAACGCUGGCGGCAGGCUUAACACAUGCAAGUCGAACGAUAUAGUGGCAGACGGGUGAGUAACGCGUGGAAACGUGCCUUUCACUACGGAAUAGCUUUUGGAAACGAAAGGUAAUACCGUAUACGCCCUCCGGGGGAAAGAUUUAUCGGUGAAAGAUCGGUCCGCGUUAGAUUAGCUAGUUGGUGAGGUAACGGCUCACCAAGGCUACGAUCUAUAGCUGGUCUGAGAGGAUGAUCAGCCACACUGGGACUGAGACACGGCCCAGACUCCUACGGGAGGCAGCAGUGAGGAAUAUUGGACAAUGGAGGCAACUCUGAUCCAGCCAUGCCGCGUGCAGGAAGACUGCCCUAUGGGUUGUAAACUGCUUUUAUACAGGAAGAAACCGCUCUACGUGUAGAGCUCUGACGGUACUGUAAGAAUAAGGAUCGGCUAACUCCGUGCCAGCAGCCGCGGUAAUACGGAGGAUCCAAGCGUUAUCCGGAAUCAUUGGGUUUAAAGGGUCCGUAGGUGGAUAAUUAAGUCAGAGGUGAAAGUCUGCAGCUCAACUGUAGAAUUGCCUUUGAUACUGGUUAUCUUGAGUUAUUAUGAAGUAGUUAGAAUAUGUAGUGUAGCGGUGAAAUGCAUAGAUAUUACAUAGAAUACCAAUUGCGAAGGCAGAUUACUAAUAAUCAACUGACACUGAUGGACGAAAGCGUGGGGAGCGAACAGGAUUAGAUACCCUGGUAGUCCACGCCGUAAACGAUGGUUACUAGCUGUUCGAACUUCGGUUUGAGUGGCUAAGCGAAAGUGAUAAGUAACCCACCUGGGGAGUACGUUCGCAAGAAUGAAACUCAAAGGAAUUGACGGGGGCCCGCACAAGCGGUGGAGCAUGUGGUUUAAUUCGAUGAUACGCGAGGAACCUUACCAGGGCUUAAAUGUAGUGUGACAGGACUAGAGAUAGUUUUUUCUUCGGACACAUUACAAGGUGCUGCAUGGUUGUCGUCAGCUCGUGCCGUGAGGUGUCAGGUUAAGUCCUAUAACGAGCGCAACCCCUGUUGUUAGUUGCCAGCGAGUCAUGUCGGGAACUCUAACAAGACUGCCGGUGCAAACCGUGAGGAAGGUGGGGAUGACGUCAAAUCAUCACGGCCCUUACGUCCUGGGCUACACACGUGCUACAAUGGUAGGGACAGAGAGCAGCCACUGGGCGACCAGGAGCGAAUCUAUAAACCCUAUCACAGUUCGGAUCGGAGUCUGCAACUCGACUCCGUGAAGUCGGAAUCGCUAGUAAUCGCAGGUCAGCAUACUGCGGUGAAUACGUUCCCGGGCCUUGUACACACCGCCCGUCACACCAUGGGAGUGGGAUGCAAAAGAAGUGGAUAGUCUAACCUUCGGGAGGACGUUCACCACUUUGUGUUUCAUGACUGGGGUGAAGUCGGAACAAGGUAACCCUAGGGGAACCUGGGGUUGGAUCACCUCCUU
rnacentral:rRNA from 1 species